AAUAUCAUUUGGCAACUUGCCACUCAUGCCACCAACCAAGUGAAGAAGGAACUCAUCUUCAUGCCACUAACCAGGUGAUGAAAUGUACAACCUGUACUCUCCUUCAUGCCACCAACUAGGUGAUGAAAUGUACAACCCAUACUCUAAUAUCAUUUGGCAACUUGCCAUUCAUGCCACCAACCAGGGGAAGAAGGAACUCACCUUCGUACCACCAACCAAGUGAUGAAAGAAACUCACCAUUCAUUCCACCUACCAGAAGACGAGUGGUACAACUUGUACAUGUGAACUCCUAGCAUUCACAAAUAAUCAAAAACCCUCAAGCUUGACAACUCAACUAGGGGAGCAUUUAUGCCCAACAAGAGUUAUAGUCACCAACAAAGUCUUAUUGCAAGCCAACAACAACUUCAGUGCAUGACAUAGGA
rnacentral:lncRNA from 1 species